UACGUAGGGUGCAAGCGUUGUCCGGAAUUAUUGGGCGUAAAGAGCUCGUAGGCGGUCUGUCGCGUCUGCUGUGAAGACUCGGGGCUUAACCCCGGGCCUGCAGUGGGUACGGGCAGACUAGAGUGCGGUAGGGGAGACUGGAAUUCCUGGUGUAGCGGUGAAAUGCGCAGAUAUCGGGAGGAACACCAGUGGCGAAGGCGGCUUCCUGGCCGUUCUUGACGCUGAGGCGCGAAAGCAUGGGGAGCGAACGGG
rnacentral:rRNA from 1 species